rnacentral:rRNA from 1 species
CCUACGGGAGGCAGCAGUGAGGAAUAUUGGUCAAUGGACGAGAGUCUGAACCAGCCAAGUAGCGUGAAGGAUGACUGCCCUAUGGGUUGUAAACUUCUUUUAUAUGGGAAUAAAGUGUUCCACGUGUGGGAUUUUGUAUGUACCAUAUGAAUAAGGAUCGGCUAACUCCGUGCCAGCAGCCGCGGUAAUACGGAGGAUCCGAGCGUUAUCCGGAUUUAUUGGGUUUAAAGGGAGCGUAGGUGGCUUGUUAAGUCAGUUGUGAAAGUUUGCGGCUCAACCGUAAAAUUGCAGUUGAAACUGGCAGUCUUGAGUACAGUAGAGGUGGGCGGAAUGCGUGGUGUAGCGGUGAAAUGCUUAGAUAUCACGAAGAACUCCGAUUGCGAAGGCAGUUCACUGGACUGCAACUGACACUGAGGCUCGAAAGUGUGGGUAUCAAACAGGAUUAGAUACCCUUGUAGUC